UCUACUGAAUUCUCUUCGGAGAUAGUAAGGUGGCGGACGGGUGAGUAACACGUAAAGACUUGCCCUGCAGUCUGGGACAACUAUUGGAAACGAUAGCUAAUACCGGAUAUUGCCGCAUGGCGAAAGCUAUAUGCGCUGUAGGAGAGCUUUGCGUCCCAUUAGUUAGUUGGUGAGGUAACGGCUCACCAAGACCGCGAUGGGUAGCCGGCCUGAGAGGGUGAACGGCCACAAGGGGACUGAGACACGGCCCUUACUCCUACGGGAGGCAGCAGUGAGGAAUAUUGGACA
rnacentral:rRNA from 1 species